rnacentral:rRNA from 1 species
AUGCACGCUGGCGGCGUGCUUAACACAUGCAAGUCGCACGAUGAAGCCCAGCUUGCUGGGUGGAUUAGUGGCGAACGGGUGAGUAACACGUGAGUAACCUGCCCUUAACUCUGGGAUAAGCCUGGGAAACUGGGUCUAAUACCGGAUAGGAGCGUCCACCGCAUGGUGGGUGUUGGAAAGAUUUAUCGGUUUUGGAUGGACUCGCGGCCUAUCAGCUUGUUGGUGAGGUAAUGGCUCACCAAGGCGACGACGGGUAGCCGGCCUGAGAGGGUGACCGGCCACACUGGGACUGAGACACGGCCCAGACUCCUACGGGAGGCAGCAGUGGGGAAUAUUGCACAAUGGGCGAAAGCCUGAUGCAGCGACGCCGCGUGAGGGAUGACGGCCUUCGGGUUGUAAACCUCUUUCAGUAGGGAAGAAGCGAAAGUGACGGUACCUGCAGAAGAAGCACCGGCUAACUACGUG